GAUUGAACGCUGGCGGCAGGCCUAACACAUGCAAGUCGAGCGGUAGCACAGAGAGCUUGCUCUCGGGUGACGAGCGGCGGACGGGUGAGUAAUGUCUGGGAAACUGCCUGAUGGAGGGGGAUAACUACUGGAAACGGUAGCUAAUACCGCAUAACGUCGCAAGACCAAAGUGGGGGACCUUCGGGCCUCAUGCCAUCAGAUGUGCCCAGAUGGGAUUAGCUAGUAGGUGGGGUAAUGGCUCACCUAGGCGACGAUCCCUAGCUGGUCUGAGAGGAUGACCAGCCACACUGGAACUGAGACACGGUCCAGACUCCUACGGGAGGCAGCAGUGGGGAAUAUUGCACAAUGGGCGCAAGCCUGAUGCAGCCAUGCCGCGUGUAUGAAGAAGGCCUUCGGGUUGUAAAGUACUUUCAGCGAGGAGGAAGGCGUUAAGGUUAAUAACCUUAGCGAUUGACGUUACUCGCAGAAGAAGCACCGGCUAACUCCGUGCCAGCAGCCGCGGUAAUACGGAGGGUGCAAGCGUUAAUCGGAAUUACUGGGCGUAAAGCGCACGCAGGCGGUCUGUUAAGUCAGAUGUGAAAUCCCCGGGCUCAACCUGGGAACUGCAUUUGAAACUGGCAGGCUUGAGUCUUGUAGAGGGGGGUAGAAUUCCAGG
rnacentral:rRNA from 1 species